rnacentral:sRNA from 1 species
GUUCCAUUCAUUCUGGGCCAGGUAGAGUUCUCACUUGAUGUCUCCCUUCCUUUGAUUGGAAGAUACUUUUGUAUCUUUCUUCGGAGGUCAGUGUCAAGACCAGGGUUCCUAUGCUCCUGUUAAAUGCACUAAUGUUGCAAGCGAGGAAAGAGAGAUCACAGACCGGUGGAAGGGUGGGGCACGGGUGUGGAGUUGAUUUUGAAUAUUUGUUGGUGCCUGCUUCCCUGCCAGCCUGAUACUCAGCCCAACAUCUGGCCUCAGGAGCGGAGGAGGAACCCCGGAAGAGUGCGGGGGUCCCAGAGGAGCUUGGGAAGAGCCCCAGAGCCCUUUCUCAUUCUUCCUGAUCCUUUAUGCUAUGUCUUCAGUCCUCCUCCCACACAGUGGUGUGCCUGCUUCCUUUCCAAGGCCUGUCUGCUAUAGAGAUCUCCAACAGACGUGAGACUCCUCUCUCUUCCCAGGCCAUGCUGGUAUCUCCUUCCUUACUCUGUUUCCACAUGCUCAACCAAGAUGCCAAAUUAACCCUUCACUGUCACUCUCUGAAGAGUCUAUCAAGAGCCCUCCGUGGCUAACUCUUUUCUCCUCCUCUUCUACCAACUGGCCUGCUUCUGAGGUCUUCUUAGGUCUGACCCCCUCACACCCCUUUCCCUCCAUGACAGUUAACUUUGAAGGUCAACUUGAUUAGAUGGAGAAGCCACCGAAGAGGGAAGAGAAGUACACUUCCAGGCGUGUCUGUGAGGAAAUUUAACCGAGUGAGCAAGAGCCUGUUGAAAAGUUCAUCUCAAGCUCCUGUCAGCAUCAACUAAUACCAGAUCUCAUCUGAGUGGCCACUAUGAGGUCAGAUUUUGAACUAAGGGCCUGAAGUUCAGCAAGAAGGAACCAAGCCGCCCUGUACUCACCUGUGGGAAGCCCAGCAGAGAGACAGGACAUCAGAGUGAGUUAAGAUUAAACCUCAUCAGCUGAUGGCCUGAAACCCAAGGGCCUCCCAUGGAAUCGUCAGUGUGGAUACGAACCCAGAAGGAGGCACGGAACACACAGAAGUUCUGGUUCCAAGAACAGCACUGUUCCACUAUUGUAGGAUGAGUCACUGGUGACUCCAUUAGAGCUCUCAGCAGCAGGAUUGUCCCCUGCUGGGC